rnacentral:rRNA from 1 species
AAAUUGAAGAGUUUGAUCAUGGCUCAGAUUGAACGCUGGCGGCAGGCCUAACACAUGCAAGUCGAGCGGUAGCACAGAGAGCUUGCUCUCGGGUGACGAGCGGCGGACGGGUGAGUAAUGUCUGGGAAACUGCCUGAUGGAGGGGGAUAACUACUGGAAACGGUAGCUAAUACCGCAUAACGUCGCAAGACCAAAGUGGGGGACCUUCGGGCCUCAUACCAUCAGAUGUGCCCAGAUGGGAUUAGCUAGUAGGUGGGGUAACGGCUCACCUAGGCGACGAUCCCUAGCUGGUCUGAGAGGAUGACCAGCCACACUGGAACUGAGACACGGUCCAGACUCCUACGGGAGGCAGCAGUGGGGAAUAUUGCACAAUGGGCGCAAGCCUGAUGCAGCCAUGCCGCGUGUGUGAAGAAGGCCUUCGGGUUGUAAAGCACUUUCAGCGGGGAGGAAGGCGAUAAGGUUAAUAACCUU